rfam:Coniochaeta ligniaria NRRL 30616 unplaced genomic scaffold CONLIGscaffold_10, whole genome shotgun sequence.
UCUUCCGUAGUAUAGUGGUUAGUAUAUGAGCUUGUCAUCUGGGUUCACGCCCUCGACAUCGCUCGGGACCCGGGUUCAAUUCCCGGCGGGAGAG